rnacentral:rRNA from 1 species
UACGUAGGGUGCGAGCGUUGCCCGGAUUUAUUGGGCGUAAAGGGCGCGUAGGCGGCCACGCACGUCCGUUGUGAAAUCGCCCGGCUCAACUGGGCGGGGUCAGCGGAUACGGUGUGGCUCGAGCAAGCUAGGGGGCAAUGGAAUUCCCGGUGUAGUGGUGGAAUGCGUAGAUAUCGGGAGGAACACCUGUGGCGAAAGCGGCGCACUGGACCACAACUGACGCUGAGGCGCGAAAGCUAGGGGAGCAAACAGG